CUCCUACGGGAGGCAGCAGUGGGGAAUAUUGCACAAUGGAGGAAACUCUGAUGCAGCGACGCCGCGUGAGUGAAGAAGGUCUUCGGAUCGUAAAACUCUGUCCUUGGUGAAGAAAGAAAUGACGGUAGCCAAGGAGGAAGCCCCGGCUAACUACGUGCCAGCAGCCGCGGUAAUACGUAGGGGGCGAGCGUUGUCCGGAUUUACUGGGCGUAAAGGGUGAGUAGGCGGUAAUAUGUGUCAGGUGUAAAAGGCUAUGGCUUAACCAUAGUUAGCAUUUGAAACUGUAUUACUUGAGUGCAGGAGAGGUAAGUGGAAUUCCUAGUGUAGCGGUGAAAUGCGUAGAUAUUAGGAGGAACACCAGUGGCGAAGGCGACUUACUGGACUGUAACUGACGCUGAGUCACGAAAGCGUGGGUAGCAAACAGGAUUAGAUACCCUGGUAGUCCACGCUGUAAACGAUGAGUGCUAGGUGUUGGGUAGCGAUAUUCAGUGCCGAAGUUAACACAAUAAGCACUCCGCCUGGGGAGUACGGUCGCAAGACUGAAACUCAAAGGAAUUGACGGGGACCCGCACAAGCAGCGGAGCAUGUGGUUUAAUUCGAAGCAACGCGAAGAACCUUACCAAGGUUUGACAUCCCCUUGACAGAUGCAGAGAUGUGUCCUCUCCUUCGGGAGCAAGGGAGACAGGUGGUGCAUGGUUGUCGUCAGCUCGUGUCGUGAGAUGUUGGGUUAAGUCCCGCAACGAGCGCAACCCUUAUCAUUAGUUGCCAGCAAGUUAAGUUGGGCACUCUAAUGAGACUGCCGGUGAUAAACCGGAGGAAGGUGGGGAUGACGUCAAAUCAUCAUGCCCCUUAUAUCUUGGGCUACACACGUGCUACAAUGGUCGGUACAAAGGGCAGCGAAAGAGUGAUCUGGAGCAAAUCUCUAUAAACCGAUCCCAGUUCGGAUUGUAGGCUGCAACUCGCCUACAUGAAGUUGGAGUUGCUAGUAAUCGCGAAUCAGAACGUCGCGGUGAAUGCGUUCCCGGGUCUUGUACACACCGCCCGUCACACCAUGGAAGUUGGUAAUACCCAAAGUCGCUGAGCUAACCGUAAGGGGGCAGGCGCCUAAGGUAGGAUCAAUGACUGGGGUGAAGUCGUAACAAGGUA
rnacentral:rRNA from 1 species